AUUGAACGCUGGCGGCAUGCUUUACACAUGCAAGUCGAACGGUAACAGGCCUUCGGGUGCUGACGAGUGGCGAACGGGUGAGUAAUGCAUCGGAACGUGCCCAGAGGUGGGGGAUAACGCAGCGAAAGCUGUGCUAAUACCGCAUGUGAUCUGAGGAUGAAAGCGGGGGACCAGGCAGCAAUGUUUGGCCUCGCGCCUUUGGAGCGGCCGAUGUCAGAUUAGGUAGUUGGUGGGGUAAAGGCCUACCAAGCCGACGAUCUGUAGCUGGUCUGAGAGGAUGACCAGCCACACUGGGACUGAGACACGGCCCAGACUCCUACGGGAGGCAGCAGUGGGGAAUUUUGGACAAUGGGCGCAAGCCUGAUCCAGCAAUGCCGCGUGCGGGAAGAAGGCCUUCGGGUUGUAAACCGCUUUUGUACGGAACGAAAAGGCUCUGGCUAAUACCUGGGGCUGAUGACGGUACCGUAAGAAUAAGCACCGGCUAACUACGU
rnacentral:rRNA from 1 species